rnacentral:rRNA from 1 species
CAGUCGCCGCGGUAAUACGGAGGGUGCAAGCGUUAAUCGGAAUUACUGGGCGUAAAGCGUGCGUAGGCGGUUCGUUAAGUCUGUUGUGAAAGCCCCGGGCUCAACCUGGGAAUGGCAAUGGAUACUGGCGAGCUAGAGUGUGUCAGAGGAUGGUGGAAUUCCCGGUGUAGCGGUGAAAUGCGUAGAGAUCGGGAGGAACAUCAGUGGCGAAGGCGGCCAUCUGGGACAACACUGACGCUGAGGCACGAAAGCGUGGGGAGCAAACAGGAUUAGAUACCCGAGUAGUCCCUGUCUCUUAUAC